UAACCUGAACCAUUUUAAACUUCGUUUACACACACAGGGCAUGGCAGUAGAGAAUAUUACUCGUGGUUUGUCCUUGAAGAAAUCCUAAUUACAAGUCUUUCUGAACACAGCAGAGAGGUCGGGAAGCAAGUUGUGGAGAAGUUUAAACAUCUUCCCUCUACACACUUCUUGACACUCAAGGGCACGGAACGAAAUACAUAAAAUCAGUUAAAAGAAACAACGCGGCACACGAGUGAAGGAGGAUGAGGAUGACGAGAAGUCUGGAAUCAGCUGCGAUGAGGAGACCGCUUGUGAUUUCGGAAGUCAUCACGUCACGCCUCUGACCCUUUAGGAACAUUUUUACCUGCGUUGCACUGAGAAGCAGCUCUUAUCAUGAACUCGGCAGAAGCAGGACUCCACCAGAUGUUUGCUAAUAGUCGCUGGCUAGUCUGAAGGAUCUGAGUGGGGAAGUCAACACUGCAGGCUGCUGGUUUCACAGCAGAAGAUGGGUUUGCUGUGGUGACAACAGCUUCCACUGUUUUGUCUGACGUCGGUUAUUUCUGGUACCUUUUGCACAACUUAUUUAAAACCAAUAGAAAGUAACUGCUGCGUUCACGGAUUGCAGACUUGUCAUUUGUUAAAGAGCAGCAGUGAGACGUGUCAGAAGUCGGUAGUACUUUACUGAGACCCGGGUUGUUCAAGCUUCUGGGUUUUUUUUACUGACAUGUGUGACAUAUUCAGAAUAUAUGAUAAUCGUUUAAGCUUGUUAGGAUCUUAUGUUGUUUUGGAAUUUGAUUUGACUCUAGUUUUGUCAUUAUUUCAUUCUAUAAUUUUGUAAAAUAAAUACAAAAUGGGUUGGAUAUGUCGAAAGAUUACCACUAAAAUCCAUUUGAUAUCAUCUGUAUGUUUUUAUGUUGCAUCAAAUAUUCCCCCUGCUGACCUUCAUGGCCAAAGCUAUUGUAUUGGCUUUCAUUAAAACCACAUAUUUUAAUACAACUGUAGUUACA